CGGAUUCUAACGGACAUGCAUUCGAAAUACACUACCUAAUAAUCAAGCUAAAGCAAACCAAAUAUUAUAGACUACAGCUAUACAUUCGAAAUUGACAAGAACAGAUAUAUGAUAUAAAGUUCAUUUGAAAGUUCACAAAUUAGAUCAUUACAAGAACUGUCCAGUUAUACAUCCCGCAAGCAUUUACAUGAUAUUAAUGAAUGAGAUAUCCUAAUAUACAAGUCAGUAGAAAAGCUAGAUCAAACUUAAAGCUUCAAAUCUUCAUGUAUAUCCAUGCUUAUAUUUUCAGCUUACAAAUGACCAAGGUUACAGCUGUGUACCUGGAAAUGGCAAUACAAGAAGAAGAGAAGGAGGUCAGCAACGGGUAACAAUUCUAGCAAUCAACAACAACUUAACAACAGCAAGUCACCCAAGUUUGAAGCCCAGAACAGUAUGAAAACCCAACAGAGUUGAAAGAUCAAACUCAAAACAAUGCCAAAACCCAAGAAUGAAUCAGGGACUGAAAUAUAAGUAGUCAGCUUAUCUAUCCACUAACGCGAACCCACAGACUCGAAGCAAAUAGAUUAAGGUAAUGCAUUCUAAUUCAAAACUGGGAUUCACGACAAUGAAGAAGGAACAGUAAUAGUAAACAGCAAAUAAGACAGCAGACUUAGAGUUCAAAUAGCCACGAACCCAACCCGUUCAGCCCAGAACACACUUGAGCACAGCAGUUGUAUUUGUUUCUUGUUACCCUCCCCCAGCUCUUAAGCUCUCUCUUUUUCUCUAAAGUCUGCCUCUAAGCACAACUAGACCAAACUCAAAACUUGAAAUAGAAUUGAUUUCCGCUCAAAACAAACCCCCCUCUCUCUGUCCAGAAAACCUCUCCCCCAAAAGAGUCCUCCUACAAUGACUAAACCUUGCUCUAUUUAUAACCAAAAAACAGACCCUUCCCCUUCUCAAAAGCAAUUAAACUAAUACCACCACCAUCCUUUUGCCCAUGAUAUUCUCUUAUAGCCCAUUAUCAUGUGUU
rnacentral:lncRNA from 1 species